rnacentral:tRNA from 1 species
ACUGGGGUGGCAGAGCAUGGUAAAUUGCAAAAGACCUAAGCCCUUUUAAUCAGAGGUUCAAAUCCUCUCUCCAGUU